rnacentral:rRNA from 1 species
AAGCCCCGCUAACUACGUGCCAGCAGCCGCGGUAAUACGUAGGGGGCUAGCGUUAUCCGGAAUUACGGGCGUAAAGGGUGCGUAGGCGGUCUUUCAAGCCAGAAGUGAAAGGCUACGGCUCAACCUAGUAAGCUUUUGGAACUGUAAGACUUGAGUGCAGGAGAGGAGAGUGGAAUUCCUAGUGAGCGGUGAAAUGCGUAGAUAUUAGGAGGAACACCAGUAGCGAAGGCGGCUCUCUGGACUUAACUGACGCUGAGGCACGAAAGCGUGGGGAGCAAACAGGAUUAGAUACCCUGGUAGUCACGCCGUAAACGAUGAGUACUAGGUGUCGGGGGUUACCCCCCUCGGUGCCGCAGCUAACCAUUAAGUACUCCGCCUGGGAAGUACGCUCGCAAGAGUGAAACUCAACGGAAUUGACGGGACCCGCACAAGUAGCGGAGCAUGUGGUUUAAUUCGAAGCAACGCGAAGAACCUUACCUAGCUUGACAUCCCAUUGACCUCUCCCUAAUCGGAGAUUUCCCUUCGGGGACAGUGGUGAAGGUGGUGCAUGGUUGUCGUCAGCUCGUGUCGUGAGAUGUUGGGUUAAGUCCCGCAACGGCGCAACCCUUGCCUUUAGUUGCCAGCAUUAAGUUGGGCACUCUAGAGGGACUGCCGGGACAACUCGGAGGAAGGUGGGGAUGACGUCAAAUCAUCAUGCCCCUUAUGUUCUGGGCUAACACGUGCUACAAUGGCCGGUACAGAAAGCAGCAAUGCCGCGAGGCGGAGCGAAUCUCGAAACCGGUCCCAGUUCGGACUGCAGGCUGCAACCCGCCUGCACGAAGCCGGAGUUGCUAUAAUCGCGGAUCAGAAUGCCGCGGUGAAUGCGUUCCCGGGUCUUGUACACACCGCCCGU